CGUGACCUGCCUCAGGCCGUCGUCGCACACCAACACCCGUCUCUGCCCCCGCCUCUCCCACGCGCAUCUCGAGCGGGUCUUCCGCCCCAAACGACGACAAGAGGCACCGCGCGGCUCAUCCCGACGAUGCCUCCGGGGAUGCAGGGAACGACAGAGCCGCCGCUGGACGUGGCUAUUGCCGCUGGCCGCCCCUCUGCCAUGGCUUUUGCCGCUGGCUGCUGCCCAAAGCAUUGCCGCGACGACCCCCGCACUCAGGCCCUCCCCUUGCCGCCGCGAACUUCUCCCCCUACCACCGUGACCUUCUUCCCCUUGCGCCGCGACCUUCUUCCACCUUCCUCCUACACCCUUCGGCCGCGAGGCAACGCUCGAACUAGCCAAAUGGGUCAGCGCCCACCACCUGCGUGCCACCCAACACAGAUCGACGCCCGGGCAACGUGGGAUAUCCCUCCUCCCAAUGCGUCUCUACCAUCCUGUAGGUCUGUCCCAUUUGUUUGGUCACGACGGUGCUCUCAUUUGAGCAGCCAUAGCAUCACGGAAGCUCUUCAAAAAAUGGACCUGAUGGUGGUCCAUGUGAGCAGCCAUAGAAAAAAAUCUCUACCAGAUAUCUAAAUUCUUCAAACAUAGCACUGUGUUAUCUUUUUCGUUUGUAGGCUGCUCUAUAGAAUUGUAAUAGUAGCAUGGUCAGAUUCAGAUUAUAAUGUGCCAUUCUGUAACACACUAUGUUCCAUUUUUAGUUCAAAGUCUAGCAGAGAUUUCAGUUUAGGAAAAGGUUUUUGUAAAUUACAGUAUGAGCCAUUUCCAGCUCAUGUUCAGCAGAGUUUUCAGUUUCACGAAAGAUUUUGUGGAAAACAAACUAUAAGCCAUUUUCAGUUCAA